rnacentral:misc_RNA from 1 species
AACUGGAGGUGGGGCUACAGGUGGCUACAAUCACAAUGUCAUUUCCCCAUGUUAUUGUCCAAGCAAAGUAGAAACUAAUGUUUGUCCGGGGAAAGAAGAAAAGUCUCCUGUGGUGGAGAUAAUAGUUGAUCUUUCCUAUCGUGCAGAACCAUGCAAGAAUGACUCUUACAUGUGUGUGGAGAUAUUCCCCGGGAAGCCUCGCUUCACGUGUGGUAAAUAAGCUUCAUUGGAUAUUAUAUUAUAAUGCGCCACAAAUUAUAUAUAUGGAUAUGAAUAAGUGGGCACUUGUCAUGUUGGUUGUUAGUCUUGACAUUUGCAGUCUCUCAAAUAAGGUAAAUUAUAGAGUAUAUUUGGAGCAUGUGCUUAUUCACUCAUAUAGGUGUAGGACUCACUUUUCAUUAUCUAUGAAAAGACCCACGUAUAUGUGAGUGCAAAGAGUACUAAAAGUUUAAUGCUCUAUGUACAUCUAAUAAUUUCUCAAUAAAUAAAUUGUCUGACUGCAAUGUGUGAGUACUGCUUUAUCUUUUAUCUUGUGUAAGGAACUACAUGUAAUAUGAACUUUAAUGUGCUAUAAUGUUUAAUGUUCUUUUUGUUAA